rnacentral:rRNA from 1 species
UCAGCUCGUGUCGUGAGAUGUUGGGUUAAGUCCCGCAACGAGCGCAACCCUUAUUACUAGUUGCCAGCAUUAAGUUGGGCACUCUAGUGAGACUGCCGGUGACAAACCGGAGGAAGGUGGGGACGACGUCAAAUCAUCAUGCCCCUUAUGACCUGGGCUACACACGUGCUACAAUGGAUGGUACAACGAGUCGCGAGACCGCGAGGUUAAGCUAAUCUCUUAAAACCAUUCUCAGUUCGGACUGUAGGCUGCAACUCGCCUACACGAAGUCGGAAUCGCUAGUAAUCGCGG